UACGGAGGGGGCUAGCGUUGUUCGGAAUUACUGGGCGUAAAGCGCACGUAGGCGGCUUUGUAAGUUAGAGGUGGAAAGCCCGGGGCUCAACUCCGGAAUUGCCUUUAAGACUGCAUCGCUAGAAUUGUGGAGAGGUAAGUGGAAUUCCGAGUGUAGAGGUGAAAUUCGUAGAUAUUCGCAAGAACACCAGUGGCGAAGGCGGCCAACUGGUCCGGUACUGACGCUGAGGUGCGAAAAGCGUGGGGAGCAAACAGG
rnacentral:rRNA from 1 species